AACUAUGCAGUUUCGAAUAAUAGUGCAUACGUAUUAAGAUUGUUGAUUAUCAGUUGAUCCCACUGUUGUAGGAGAGCAUUGGUGGCAGUCAGCUAGGCUCUGCAAAUCAAGUGGGAACUAUAAACUUUCACUUGGAACAGUUGCUGAUUCGGGCAAAAUCGGGUACAUGCUGAUCUGUCUGAAUUUGAGACGAGUGCAAAAAGAUUAGAAGUAAAGGUAACAAGCAAACCUGCAUAGCUCCCAUCAGUCAACUACUCCACAGCUUCAACAUCAUGAGAAAGCAACUGAGUUCUCUGUCUUCAGAACCAACAAAAAUUCGUGAAAACUUUCGUGGCGCAGUUGAGGGUGAUCAAAACCCGUAGCUGUCUUUUUCUCUGCAACCAACACUGCCAUGCAUCCACUUCAGGUGAUCAAUCUGCAAGUUAACAUGCAUGUCAUCUUCUUAGUAUCACUUUAUUUUCCAAGCUUUCUAACUUCUGAAGCAGUAAAACUAUCUCCAUGGUGCUGCUGCUGUACUAUAUGCAAGGUUAUUUCAGAAUAACAGUGUGUAUUAAGGGCAAGUUUCACAUUUUCAGCCUAGCAGCUGUUACUUCGGAAUUGACCAAAUGGCCCUAUCACUUUGCACUAUAAGCACUACAUAGGUUAGUUCAAAUUCAUGUAUGCAUUGGCAGUCUUAAAUGUUUAUAGUCUAUGCAUUAUUUUGAGUAAAUAGUGGCUACAGUACACAAGGCAUUGAUAUUGAUUUUAAUACUCUGAAACUGAUAUAAGAAAAAGAGAGGACAAUGACAUUCAUCUUUAAACUAUGCGAUUAAAUCGAUCAGUAGGGAACAAAAUGGUUCUCUGUACUCUCUCUCUUUUUUCUUUCUUUCUAGUUAUGCUCCAAACCCUCUGUAUCACACUUUGGUUAUGUGAUUAAACUUUCCCGUUUCCUAGCUGGAACUCAGAUGUUACAGAAACAAUGAAGAUUCUUUCAAGAUAACUAAUGGCUGUUACUACCUAACGUUACCUGUAUACUGUCUACAAACUUCUCUGAUAUAAUAAUUAGCAAAACCUAAAGGGUUUGUAUGAGUUGCUUUGUAUUUAUUGUGGAUAGAUGGAAUCAAUGA